rnacentral:rRNA from 1 species
GCAGAUGCGCGGCCGACAGGGUGUGUAAUAUGUAGGGGGCGAUCGUUAUCCGGAAUCACUGGGGUUAAAGGGUUCGUAGGCGGUUUGAUAAGUAAGAGGGGAAAGGCUACGGCUUAACUGUGGGAUUGCCUUUGAUACUGUUGGACUGGAAUUGAGUUGAAGUUAGUGGAAUGCGGCAUGUAGCGGUGAAAUGCAUAGAUAUGUCGUAGAACACCGAUUGCGAAGGCAGCUAACUGGGCUUAAAUUGACGCUGAGGCACGAAAGCGUGGGGAUCGAACAGGAUUAGAUACCCGAGUAGUC